UGUAAAUGCAUUUGAUCAAUUGAUAUUCAAAUUGGCUAGAAUUUAAAGUAAUUGCCUAAACUGUAAUCCCAAAAUUCUAACCUAAAUUCUCAAAACCCUUCAUCCCAAUUUAACCCAAUUAAAACAGCCCCUAGCGUCCCAAAUCUCCCAUCAAUAUUCCUCAUCCCAAUACCUAAACCACUCUAAUCCAGUACUCCUUUUUAGUUGGCCCAAACCAAAUACCUAAUCCGGCCCAUUUUCCCAUUUUCCUCUUCUAUAUCAGAAACAACCGCUUGAAUGAUUGAGAGGGGUGGGUCCCAAGAUCGUGACAAAGCCAACAAACCCUUCUCGACCAGCCUUGAACCGACUCGUGACCUGCUCGUUCUUAGCCUUCACCAUACGUCCCGUGUAAACCCGUUUGUGAAAGCCUGGAAGCUGUUAAAAAUUGGUGAGAUGGCUCCUCCAAUGGAUUGAUUCCGCAAAUCUCGGUUACCAUGGUACAAAUUCGUACCUAUCUGGUCGAUUCACAUUGGUUUGGGGUACGUCUUGUUUUUCUCGAUAGGUUAUUGGUCCAUCCAUUCAAAUUUGUUGAAGAAAAAUCCAACUAAGGGUACGGUUUGUGAGAGAGAGGAUCUUUUGGGGGGAUUCAAAAACUCAACCCCCAAUCCCUUCUAUAAGAACCCCUUUGGAGAGAAAGAAAAACGAGGGAUCAAGAAAAAGGGUCAGAAAUUUGAGGUUUUAGAAAUUGUGUUUAGAAAAAGCUUUGGGAACUCGAAUUCUAUUUCUUAGAAAUUUUAGGUUUUUGAAAUUGCUAGGGAGAGAUUCGAGGGUUGAAGAGGGAAAUCUUUUGAGUUUUUGAUUCGGAAACAGAGAAAGGAAAACUUUUGAAGUUUCUAAAUUUAGGUUGAAAAUCUUAGUUGAAAAUCUGGAGGGUUCCAAAAUCUCUAAGAGGAAAAAGCAAAAGAUAUGCUCUAUUGGUGAUCGACGUUGCGAGAUUCCGGUAGUGGCAAGUUUGCUGAUAGCUCAUCGUCCCAUCUUGCUGCCCGAAGGAGCAUGCACCCGCUCCGGAGUCCGGAAGUCUAAAUGGACUCUUUCUCUUUUUGCAUUUCAUUGAACGGGCCAAGAAGGCCUCUCCUCUGAGUCGAACCCCAAAGAAUGAUUAAAUGAAUUGCAUGGCGUACAAAUAUAAGGAGUUGAAAGGAGAAGAGUGGGUUAAAGUCCCCUCGAAGCGUCUAAGAGAUUUGAACGUCUCAUUGGCUUAUUUAUUCAUUCUGUGGUUGUAUUUAUUUAUUUAGUUUGUUAUUUAUUCAUCUCGGCCUCGAAGCCAAAGUUUUAUUUAAUACAGGUGGAGCAGAUUUAAGCCACAAAGGCUUGAAAACUAGACUAGGACAGGUGAAAUGGGUCAAAAGCCCAAUUAGACUAGGACAGAUCUUAUUGAUUUGGGCCUAAUGUCCUAAAUCCCUUACUUUCUCCCCUUUCUAUUUUUCUUUACACUUCUUUUCCUUAUGUGUUUGGCGAACCUAGUUAAAUCCUUAGUUAAGUCGCUAAAAAACUAGUUUUGCAUAAACACCAAAAUAUUUCCAAAAUCGCUUUCUUUUCAAAAAUCAAUCACUUUCCGACAAAUUAACCUUUUUUUGAAGUUAGUCAAAAGACAUUUUCAAUCAGUCCGGAUAACCGCAAGUUAGCGGACGUUUUAGGUGCCUGACUCGGACCUGUUCUAAAAAAGUCGAGGUAUUUCGAAUUGUUUGUUGACACGGACAAAGUCAGGGAAAACCUCUGAAAUUAUUUCAAUAUUGAACCUUGGACAUAUAAGAGUUCCGAAUCGAAUCUCUUUAGAAAGAAGAUCUUUUGUCUCAUGGUAGCCUGCUCCAGUCCCCUUACGAAACUUUCGUUAUUGGGUUAGGCUAGCUGCCUAUUGCAGGAGUUCCUGACCUGAAAGGACACCAGCAAGCUGCUACUGAAUGUGAACAAAGCCAAACCAAUAUGAUAUUCAAUAAGCCCACUUUUUUGAGAGAAAAAACCU